AGAUAUCCAUCAGGAUGAAAGAAUCUGGUCGGUGGUUUAGUAGUUGAGUGUCUGACCACAAGAGGGCAGAGCGUCUCUGCAGACCCAUGGUAUAGGACAGGCUGUCUUUGGUUGACUUCUAUAGGAGCAGGCUCAAGACAGAAGCAGACGCCUGUGCAGUUUGAAGACCGCUGUGCCUUGGAGCAAAUGAGGAGACAUCUGUGAUAGACGGAGCUCUCCUGGCUGGAUCUUGCAGGUCCCAAUGGGCAGAACUAUGAGGACACAUGCAGGACCUUUCUUCCUGUUCCUGUGGCUGCAGCUGCACUGUGUGAGUGGAGGAGAGACGGUGGAGCAGAGUCCUUCUUUCUUGAGUGUCCAGGAGGGAGACGGCUGUGUUAUCAACUGCACUUACACAGACAGUGCCUUCAACUACUUCUAUUGGUAUAAGCAAGUACCUGGAGCAGGCCUCCAGUUUCUUAUAAAUAUUUUCUCAAGUAUGGAUAAGAAAGAAGAGCAAAGGCUCACCGUCCUCAUGAGCAAGAAGGACCAGCGUCUCUCCCUGCACAUUGCAGCUGCCCGUCCUGCAGACUCAGCCACCUACUUCUGUGCUGCAGGAGCACAGUGCUCCCCAGGCACCUGCAGCCUCUACUCAAACCCGCAACAAAGGCUAACAACACGCUCAGCUUUUUUUGUCCUUUGA